CACGUAGGGGGCAAGCGUUGUCCGGAUUUAUUGGGCGUAAAGAGCUCGUAGGCGGUUAUCCACGUCGGAUGUGAAAUCCCCCAGGCUUAACCUGGGAACUGCAUCCGAUACUGGAUGGCUUGAAUUCGGGAGAGGGAUGCAGAAUUCCAGGUGUAGCGGUGAAAUGCGUAGAUAUCUGGAGGAAUACCGGUGGCGAAGGCGGCAUCCUGGACCGAGAUUGACGCUGAUGAGCGAAAGCCAGGGGAGCAAACGGG
rnacentral:rRNA from 1 species